rnacentral:rRNA from 1 species
GACGAACGCUGGCGGCGUGCUUAACACAUGCAAGUCGAACGGAAAGGCCUGCUUUCCCUUGUGGAUUGCGGGUACUCGAGUGGCUAACGGGUGAGUAACACGUGAUUGAUCUGCCCCCAACUUGGGUAUAAGCCUGGGAAACUGGGUCUAAUUCCCGAUAGGACUGCAGGGUGGUGCCUGUGGUUGAAAACGAUUUUCUAGUGGUUGGGGAUGAGCUCGCGGCCUAUCAGCUUGUUGGUGGGGUAAUGGCCUACCAAGGCGGCGACGGGUAGCCGGCCUGAGAGGGUGGACGGGCAAAGUGGGACUGAGAUACGGCCCAGACUCCUAGGGGAGGCAGCAGUGGGGAAGAUUGCACAAUGGGCGGAAGCCUGAUGCAGCGACGCCGCGUGGGGGAUGACGGCCUUCGGGUGGUAAACUCCGUGCGACCGAGAGGAAGCCACAUGGUUGGAAGGGUGGUGACGGUAGUGGUAGAAGAAGCACCGGCUAACUACGUG